rnacentral:rRNA from 1 species
UACGGAGGGAGCUAGCGUUGUUCGGAAUUACUGGGCGUAAAGAGUACGUAGGCGGUGGUUCAAGUCAGAGGUGAAAGCCUGGAGCUCAACUCCAGAACUGCCUUUGAAACUAGAUCGCUAGAAUUGUGGAGAGGUUAGUGGAAUUCCGAGUGUAGAGGUGAAAUUCGUAGAUAUUCGGAAGAACACCAGUGGCGAAGGCGACUAACUGGACACAUAUUGACGCUGAGGUACGAAAGCGUGGGGAGCAAACAGG